rnacentral:rRNA from 1 species
UACGUAGGGUGCAAGCGUUGUCCGGAAUUAUUGGGCGUAAAGAGCUUGUAGGCGGUUUGUCGCGUCUGCUGUGAAAAUCCGGGGCUCAACCUCGGGCCUGCAGUCGAUACGGGCAAACUAGAGUACUGCAGGGGAGACUGGAAUUCCUGGUGUAGCGGUGAAAUGCGCAGAUAUCAGGAGGAACACCGGUGGCGAAGGCGGAUCUCUGGGCCAGUAUUGACGCUGAGGAGCGAAAGCGUGGGUAGCAAACAGG